AGUGUAUGUAUUAAUUUUAUAUGGUAUCACAUGACCAUGAUAGUAAAGUAUUUUAUAGUAAAAUAUAUAAAGUGUGUAAAAAAUGGGUGGUAUUUUAAGUAAUUUGAGAUAAUUCUUAGUUAUAUGGAUAAAUUUUAUAUACAUUAAGUACUAAAAUAUGGGGAUAAGCAUGUGAUAUAUAUCUUUUAUUUUCGUAGGCAUUAUGUGUCAUAAAUGUAGGACUUCCACCGCCAAUACAUGGCUAGGUGGAAGCCAUACAUUUAAAGACCAUUUGUUGUUAUAUUUGGGAUGGCUUGCUAAGCAUUGGAGUUAGAAGGAGUGUUUAAUUGCCCCACAUUUACGCAUUGUCUUGUUCCAUCCUUCCAUUUUAUUGAAAGGGGAUAAGAUAAAGACUAAGAAAAUAGUGGCAGAAAGUAUAAGAACACAGCCGAGCAUAAAUAAGCAUUACAACAUCAAUAAAUAAAGGUUCUAGCUUUGAGAGAAGCAGAACCCAAAGAAAACAUUGGCAUAGAAAUGGGAGGCAACCAUUGAAACAAACUGGCAUCACUAUGCUGCCUCAUUCUUAUUUCUUAGUAUUUUACUUGCUUUUCUCUCAAUAACUGGUUGAGUACAUAAGUAGGCUCAGAUUUGUGACAAAAUCGUGCAAACGAAAAGGACACCGCCAUGGCUGCAAACCAGAGUAGCAUACAACGAUAGCAACAACAACAAUCUCAUUCACAAUCUACUUUACUCUGACACUUUCAACCGUUCUAACGUCCAUUUUUUGGGGACGCCGCAUUUAUGCCUGCAGGUAUAGAUAAUCAGUUUGACGAGCCCUUAUAGAAGACAGAGUUAGCAUUCAGUGAAGGAUCGGUACGACUCCACCUCAUUCGGAGUGCAGCCAAGUCUAUGAGUCAUCAUGUUAAAAUUUUACUACAGACUUGUGGGUAGGCCGAUACCCUGUCCCAUUUGAUGUCAAUUAAUCUUAGAGGCUUUGUAGAUGGAGGUUCAUUUUGUACAGUUUGUCAGAGGCCUUGACAGCCUAUAUGUAUUCAUGACUUAAGAAAAAUGGUUCAGUGAUACAAUGUUGCCCAUCUAUAGUUAUACAUUAUGAGUUGUGGCCAUGUUGGCCCAUGAUAGUUAGAAGAGAAAAAAAGAGUUGUAGAGUGGUUCACUAGGGCCAGUGCGGCACCGAGUGCCAGCCACUCCUCCCCAAGUUUGGGCGUGACAAAGUGGUAUCAGAACGGGUCGUGUCCUAGGAAAGCUUACAAAUCCGUGCCUGGUAGAGUCUCACUUAUGGGUAUGUUGCGUGCCACAUUUAUAAUUGAGAGGCUAUACUUACUUUU